rnacentral:tRNA from 1 species
GGGCUUGUAGUUCAGCUUGGUAGAACACCUCAUUCGCAUUGAGGAGGUAGGCGGUUCGAGUCCGCCCAAGUCCACUA